UUUGGGCAAUAUUGCCAGCAAUAUUGCUGACGAUUGCCGGCAAUAUUUUCUAUUGAAAAGCGGCAACUUUUCAUUAUCUGGGAAAUUAGAUCGAUGGGGCAACACAGUAGGCAACUUUUUGGGAUCCUCCAAUCAGAAUACAGAUUUUAGUCAUGUGACUACUUCUCUCGGCUGAAGAAAAUCGACGAAGAUGGCGGCCAAUCUUGCCUGGAGCGAAGAAAUGGAGAGGCAACUGAUUUCAUUCUUCUCAGAACACCCGUGCCUUUGGAAAGUGAAGCUUGAGGUCUACAAAGACAGGAGGGACAGAUGUAUGGAGGCCUUGCGCAACCAACUAAAUUCUGCACAGACAGAAGUUGUUGUCACAGUCGACAUCAUUAAAAAAAAUUCAAAAACAUGCGGACAACCUUUCAGCGGGAAAAUAAAGCAGCAUCCAGUAAGCGGUCAGGCGAUGGAGCAGAUGACGUUUACAUUCCAAGAUGGAAAUACUAUAAAGACCUGCUUUUCUUGAAAGAAGGAGGAGAACCCAACAAGACUGAAGAUAAUAUCCCAUCCCAACCCAUCCAAAUUGAAACCACAACUCCAGACAAGAUGGCUUCCAAAAAUGUAACAAAACAAAAAACGGGACAUCAGCAAAGCAGAGUAUGGAGUACCUGUUCAGGAUCAGCCGUCACAGCAUUGGGCGUAUUGUCAUAGAUACCUGCAAGGCAUUAUAUCAAAGCCAACGAGAAGAGGAUAUAUAUUGGUUACCAAACAUUCUUUUUCAGUUACGUUGCCCAUUGCCCAUUGCCACCAGUGUAUCAGGGCAACUUGAGUUGCUGGUAAUAUUGCUGGCAAUAUUGCCCAAAAAAGUUGCCCGUGUAUCAUGGCCUUAAGGGGUGGUCAUGGUGGGACUGGUUUAUGCAUAUUUUUGUGUCCGAGUGCAUUAUUUCCUUUUAAAAUAAUUUAAUCAAUUCAUGACAUGUAUCACUUUAUUCUAUAAAACCUAUUUAGUUUGAAUACAUUUUCAGUACAUUCAAAUAAUAUAUAUUCUUUUAUGUUUUGGCAUCUCAAACCCCCAAAAUGUCAGGCGGCGCAACCGUCCGUGCAAAUGAACAGAUUAAGAAAACUAUUAAAAAUGGUAUUUUAAUGAUAAUAAAUUCAAAAUAAAAUACUAUGGCAUGAUUUUAUGUUUGAAACCUUUCAAAUAAACCACAUUUUACAAAUACCAAUAGUUUUAAAGCUGUUGAUAUAAUUGAAAAACUUUUGUUCAGCAAUUUGUAUGCUCUCAAAUGUCAGGGUGGCACAACCGUAAACAUGGGGCUUUUAUUGUGAAGUGAAGAGGUAAUAACAGUAAACAGUAUAUUGCAUCAUCAAGAGGACCCCAAGUGACCUUUAUGGCUGAGUGAAAAGGUUUGUAGAUCUCUCUCAAAUAUUGAUAAAAAUAGCUACUUUCAACUCGUAGGUAGGCUGGUACACUUUCCAUAUCAGUUGGUACAACCAAUGUAAAACUAGGAAAAUGUUAUUUUAUCAUAAAACUCUUUAUUCUAUCCAAAAAUUAUAUAUAUGCAAUUGAUAGCAAAGGCAAAAGCUAAGACAGGCGUCCAAGUAGAAGCCAGUUUAAUUUGAAAUUAGUUGCAAAAGUCAGGUGGCGCAACCAAUAAUUCAGGUGGCGCAACUGCAAGGAAUGUCACUAUAUGAAAUAAAUAAUGUUAUUUAAAGCUCUAAAAUUAUCUAUUACAUUUAUAAAAUGUUUAUUCGUUUUAAUUUAACCUCUUAGCGCACAACCCCUAGUGGUGGGCACGCCGGCGUGCCUAGAUUACUAAACUCAAACAAUUGGUGCUACUGCAACCAAAGUGUGAGAUGAAAACAGAAACGCGUUGUUUCAGUUUCAUUAGUAGACGAUACACGACAACUAUGCCGAAAACGGAGUUUCGCAGCCCAACCAUUGUCGCUCCGGUCGUUCAUUUAACACGCACCCCCUCCCUGCAGUCUCAUCUAAAAAACACCCCCCACCCUUGACAUAAUGGACAAUAUUGUCUAUCUUGGCAUUCAUAAAAAUAUUCUUUCACCACUAAAAAAUCGUUUGCCGUCAAUAUCCCUAAGAUAUGCCUAUACAGCAGUGAAAACGCUGCUCACUGAAUAACGAAAUAAACGAGAAAAAGUUUUUAAAAAUGAUA